rnacentral:lncRNA from 1 species
UUUACUUUACAGCCACUGAUAGGCAAGCACUUUACACAACAGCAGCUAUCACCCUCAGCACACUUACCGCGGGCUGAUUAAAUCCCAAUUAAUUCGGUUCCAUAGAAUCUGCACCUUUCCCGACGACGUGGAGGAGGCAACAAGAACCCUGUUUGCGGCUCUAACACAAAGGGGCUACUCCAAACGUUUCCUUUGUAAAAUCAAAGCCGACGAAAAUUCAAUCUUUAUAGAUCAAAAGGAGUAUAAGAGGGAGGGGGAGAGUCUCCCUCUGAUCCCAUUUGUGGAGACUUUUUCACACCGUCUAGACGGUAGCAUAUAUAAUUGAGAAAUUAUCUACAAUAACACCAGGAGGCCUAAAUGAAAAAUCUUAGAAGAUUUAUGAAUGACAUUGUUCUUAUAUGGUGGCUUUAGAGUGUACGGUUACUAAUUUGAGGUAAGAGAGUGGUCUUAGAAAAAUGAGAUUUGACAGAACAUCUUCUAUUUAUCCCGUUAUAAUGUCUAUAGCAACAGGUGUCCUAUUAAUUAUACACCUUAGUUAAUAAAUAAAUAUGUAUUAUUUGUUUGUUUAUUUAUUAAUUCAUAUAUUCAGACUUUGUUUACAGGAACCCUGUAUGUAUAUUAUAUAUUGAGAUAUUGCUUGCUUUAUUUGAUUGUGAUUUAUCUCUUAUGCAUGAUCUUUCUCUUAAAUAUUUUAUGGUUUCCUGAAAUACAAUCUCUGAUAUGAAAUUAACUAAAUGUAUAUGUUUAUUUUUAUAAUAUUGGCACUUAUCUUUAAUCUCUGAAAUUGAAUUUUGAUUAAAAAAAAUUUAGGCAUAAAUUGAUUUAGGGAUUUUAUUUAAGGAUCUGUCAUCUUUGAUUCGGACCACUUUAUUGUCUUACAGUACAAUUUAUGAGACGAUCUUUUCGUAUGAUGCCUUCCUUCUUUAAACCAAUUUUAUGAUAUUAUAUGAUUGUUUUGUCUUUUUGUCCUUUUUUCCUAUACUUUCUAGUAUUUUCUAGAAGUUUUAAUCUCCUAGUACUUAUUUACAUGAUUUAAGAUGCAUGUUUAUCCUUGAAGCUCGGUAAGAGCUUCUUUUACUUUUUUACUUUACAUUGAGCACUUAAUUUUCGGUUUUGUGUCCCUCCUUUAAUGAUUUUAAUACACCUUUUGUAUUUCUGGUUUGACUGGUGUGUUUUUUUACUUGUUGAACGAUAUUGAGGCCCUCCAGGGUUGCUUCCCAUUCUAAUUGGAAUGCAUCCACAUAAUAGCAUACAUUUGGACUGUCACCUGCUGCUACCUUGCCUUCCUCCUUCUGGGAUACUUUCUUUAGGUCUCAAGUUAUUUAUUGAAUGCCUACCUGUCAUUCAAAUUCCUAACUCAACCAUUACUUGUCUUC